GAGAAAGCUGGUGAUUUUACUCCCGCUUGUGGAUGAUCCUGGAUGGACAAGGCCAGUUCCUUGAGUCGGAAACUUAAAGGACAAUUCCAGUGCCCACAUUUCUUGUUCCGCCUCUCUUUAGAGAUACUCAUACAUCCUGGCGAACCCUUUUCACAAAGCAACAAUGCCAUGAACACAGGAAGUAUGUCAACUUUUAUCUCCGGGCCGACUCAGGGAAAGAAGCCUGCAGCAGACUGGGAAUUUAACUUCCUAUAAAGGUCUUAGGAUCAUCACAACUGAUGCAGGGAAAGCAUUUUAUUAAAUUCAACGUUCACUUGGAGUGAAGACUUUUAGACAACUAGGAAUAGAAGGGUACUUCUUUAAUUUACAGGAAAACCUUCCACAAAUGUAACUGGUAAAGUGCUGAAAAGUUUCUCACUGAAACUGAGAAAGAGGCAAGGACGUUCGCUGUGGCCGCUUCCAAGGAACAUCACACUAAAGGUCCUAGGCGGUACCGGGAAGUGAGAAUGAAAAGAAAGUCUAAGGAUUGAACAGGAACAGAAACUGUUGUAAUUCACAGACUGUAUGAUUAUGCAGGCAGAGAAAUUAUUAAAAUAUGGAACUUCAGCAAGUU